rnacentral:misc_RNA from 1 species
UUUCCGCAGGUGAACCUGCGGAAGGAUCAUUAUUGAAUGAAACACUUCUGGCUUUAUGCUGUUGUGCUGGCCCUUUGGGCAAUGUGCACACGGCUCUGGUCACUUGUUUCUUCUGUUCCACCUGUGCACUGCCUGUAGACACGCUGUGUCUAUGAUAUUUGUUAACACACAACAAUGUUAGUUGGCAUGUUAUAUAUAAUAAUAAAAUAUACAACUUUCAACAACGGAUCUCUUGGCUCUC